AAGCACCGCCUUCACUGGACUCGUUUCUCCACCACACACGGCAUUCAUCCCCGACUUCCCAGUUUGUUUUCAUUGCAGCAUCGUAUCGAGUCUUCUCCACAAUAAAAUCCGGAAAAUUAAUGAGGUCAGGCAGUGUUAGUUGGAACUCUUUCCGAGAGGCAUGCGAUGAAGAAGAAUCCAGAACCCUGAGAGUCAUUUUGCAGCAGCUCUCGCCAGAACCAGGAUAUGUAUCGUAGUUGAGUUUCUCGACUUUACAAAACUCUACCGCUCCUAGGUUUCGUGGAAGGUACCUUGAUCGGUCGCUGUCAUUUAAUUCUCUACUUUCAAGGAACUCUUUAUGUCCCUGAGAAACGACAACCAGAGAAAGCUGUCAUUUAAUUCUCUUGAUCUAAGUAAUUAAUACAUGAAACUACCAGCCAAAAGAAAAGGACAUACCUGCUUGAAGUAAACAACUUCAUCCCCUAGCUGGGGUAUAUAGCGGCAGCUUUCCUCGUGUUCUGACAACAUCAACCAUGAGACUUUCCUUGACACAUUAUUCAACCUUAUCCCAGUAUUAAGACUUUGUUUGCUGGUACUUGCAGACCGGGACCUUGAAGUAGAAGGCCAUUCUUCAAGUGAGGCACCAUCAUACACGCUUGUGGAAGGAAUUUCUUGUUUCUUUACUUUAUCUAUAGACCUCAAACGUAAUACACUGUUUCUUGCACUAGACUGACUUGAAGUGGCCUUCAGUCUCAUAGAUCUCUUCCUACGUAUCACAUCGGCUGUAGCUUCUCCAAACUCAGCGUUGUGAGCAGGAGAGUUUCUAACAUUAUCUCUCACAGGUUCAGAAUCCAUAACAGGAUUCAUGGAAGAGGGAGCUAUGGAUGCAAGACCUUCUCCACCAUCUCCAAAAUCAUCUGCUACCUCAUCAGGCUCUAUUUUUAGAGGACUGCUGGGGUGCCGAAGCUUUAAUCUCAGUCGUCGAACUUUCUUUGGAAUAAUCUCCUCGGCUUCCGUGGAAGUAUCUACAUCACAAUGUCUUCGCUGAACACAGAAUGGUUCAACAAUUGACAAAUCUUCAUCCCUGCAAGAGAAAACAAUGGAUUAGAUCGUUGAUAUUUAAUAUAAGCAUAAAUUUUCUUAGUAAUCAUAACCAGAUUUCUUUGCCGUACCCAUUAGAUGUUUGGGCUUCUACAAUGUUCUCAGACUCGGCUAAUUUGGUGGAUUCACAAAGAGGAGUCUCUUCCCUCCACUUGCACAUAGUCUGGUCCUGAUCUGAAGAUUUUAUCAAUUGAUUAUUUGCCUUUUCUCUCUGUGGCGUAUUCAUAGAAUGGGGCACAUCCUGACACCAUGACGCACCUUUUGCAUCUACAGAACUUGACCCAGCUUCUCUAGAGUAUAUACCAAUUACUUUGUGAUUAUCCUCCAAAGAUUUCGAAGAAACAUGCUCCAAAUCAGCUUGACUCAUUACACUUCUCUUGCUUUCCACAGACUCUGUUGGCUUCUUAACCGAGAUCUUUACAAUCAAUCUUUUCUUUUGUUUGUCAUUUGAAAGAGAUUCCAGCUUCUGAGAUGGCUUCUCCAACUGUUGCAAAGGUGAUGCGCUUCUAUCAGAGUCACUAUUGGAUGAAUCAUCAGCUUCAUCCGAAGAGCUUCCAGAAAUCUUUGAAAGCAAGGACCGAGCAUUUUGCGCGGCUGCUCUUUGCGGUCGUGAUUCCUUGACAUCAGAAUAUCUUCUUUUUGAAGCCUUCACGCCAAUUCUUCUGUUUUUGAUUCUCUUAUUUCCAAAUUCGGAGCUAUCAAUCUCAUCCAAAAUCCUCUUAUCACGCCUUCCAGAUGAAGUAGCCACAUCAGCCUGAGAAAACGGGAGUUAGUCAAUAGAUAACAAAUAACAAAAUCGCAUGAGAUGAACAAAACAUACUCUAGGAUGUUGUCUUCGUCUUUUCCGAUUAUAACUAUUUUCGUAAAUAUUUUCAACGUCACUGUCCUCGGAACUGCACUCAAGUUCAUUUGAAGAGUUGGAACAUGGGCUUGCCUUAGCUCCAUCAGAGGAAACUUCAGCAUUGUACUCCGAAUCAUUGUCAUCACUCAGAACUUCAUGUUCUGGUUCCCAGUACAUAGCAUCUAUAAACUCAGGCAGUGGCUCGAUCAAUCUAUCCAGAUCUGCCAAAGGAGGCAUAAUAUAAUCUUGACCUAGACUAAAAUCAGGGCCAACAGAAAACUUUAUCGAGGAAGGACGCCAUUCGACUCCUAAUGCACCCAGUCUGCGUUGCUGAAACAUUGUCUGGUCAGGUUCUGGAUACGGAAUCAUACCUGAAAAUUUUUAAAACAAACACCAAGAAUAUAUGCCAUGAAUAACCAAUAUCUUGCAUAAAAGACAUAAAGAUAAGCUUUUGGGUACAAACUUGAAUCACAAAGAAGAUCUUGAAGGUUCCUCCGAUGGGGAAGAAGCUGAGUCUCCUGCACCGUGGAAAUUAUAGCUUUAAAUUUAGUCACAAUGAAACUGCAAGGAUAUCAUUCAUACAUCUCCGCCUUUUUAAUUCGAUAAAUGCAUAAAAGUGUGCAUGUUUCGGUGAGCUCUCUUUAAAAGAACGCAACAAUAACUAGAAGCAAAACAGGAGAUACAAGUAUUUGAAACCAACCUGAUCAAGAACAUGUCCAUUGGUAUCUCGAAUAAGAGGACGGUAAUCACCAAGGAAGAACUUACACAAAACAAGAAAAGACAAAGGAUCAGAAAGCAAUAGAGGAUCACUAAAAACUGCAGCCAUAUAUAAGAAAAAGAUUAUGCAUUAGGGAUGCAAAAUCCACCAUAAGUUUUGUGCAUUCUGAAAGGUCGUCGUCGUCUAAAUAAAUAGAUCUCUCGCUCGGGAAAAAGUUGCAGGAAACCCUAAACCGAUCCCAAAUUCGUUGCGGCUGAGAUAUCGAUUCGAUAUGGCAGGAGGAGGAGGUGGGUAGUUUUGGAUUUCGAUUACUUUUUUGUAGAUUAAAGCGGAUAUUAAUGGUGAUUGAUUUAUGUGGUAGGUGAUGCGGCGUUACAAAGGCGGACGGGAGUGUGGUGGGACCUGAACACGUGUCCGGUUCCCGAUGGUUUUGACCCUCGUCGUGUGCGUGGGUGCAUAGAAUCAGCGGUGCACAAGCAGAUGGGUCAUCGUUCUAAAGUCGUCAUCUAUGCCAUGGGCAACCUAGAAUACAUCUCUAGUGACCUCUUGGAAGAGAUAGCUUACUCUGGAAUCGUUCUUGUCCACGCUCCCUGCGGUAUUAAAAUCCUCUCCUCUCUGGAAUAAUAAUAAUUAUUAUUAUAUCGAUUUGUCAGAGAGUAAUAUCUUUUAUUUCUAGGUGGGAACGACUUCAGAAAGUUACUGGGCGAAUGGUCUCAGCUUAACCCAUCAUCUCCGGCUUAUACUGUCAUGCUCAUAUCCUGCAAUUAUACGAUGGUUGAUCCUUAUCUUUUUCGGCCUACUCGAUUCACUGCUUUUUGUCUAUAUCCAAAAGAUAGCCGGCCAGUUACCCUUGACCAGCAGCCAGUAGCUCAGAAUGUUUUUGUGGGAGAGUUUGUCUGGGAAACUUUAUUGAAUGACAACAUCACAUGUGAGAUGAUGACCGUGAAUGAAGAUGAACCUCUCUGCAUUUGCGACAUAUGCGAUGACACUUUCGAAAUAUGUGCCGAAUUCAUCACUCAUCUCAAGAGUGAAGAACACAUAAAGGAGGUAAGCGAGCGAGCCUCCUCCUCUUCAGCUUUUGUAUCAUUGUCAUGUAACCUCUCUGUGUGUGUGUGUGUGCAGUUGUCUGAUAUAGUGCCUAGAGACUCCUGGUACGGUAAGCCUAUGCAUUUUUGCCAUGUUUGCAAUUAUCCCGGCUACGACGAAUAUAACAUGCUCCUCCAUAACCAAAGUGAAGAUCAUCAUCGCAAGGUAAAGCAUCCUUGCCUCUUUGCUCCUCUGACCAACUCUUCUGUAUCAAUAAAAUUUGAUCCCGUUUUGGUUUGUUUUCAAGCAGAAGAAUCUGGCUGAGAAAAUGGCUCAAGAAGAGGAUUGCGAGAGCAGGAAGAGAAAUCCACAAGUAGAUCUCUUUUACGAGAGAAACAAGAAGCAAUCUCUUUGAACGAGGCAAACAAGCUAGAGCGUGUGCAUGCCCCAUGGGGUCUGUGUUAAGUUUACUUUUGUCGAUUAAUUAAAAUGAAACUCUCAAAGGGGGAUUGAUGAUGAUUGUGUUCUUGGCGAAAAUUAUGCGAGUGUGAGAGACAAGCCUUUACCUUUUUAUCUCUUUAGGAAACUGUAGGGGAAGGAAACCAAGAAACUGUUAUUGUGUCUCAUAUGGACUAAACAUAUUUUUGGCCAUCUCUACUGACUGAGUUGCAAAACUCACUACUUUUUAAACGGAACUGCUUACAUCACUAGUUAACAAAAGAAAAAAACAAUGUCGCUUCUUUUAAUGGGCACAAAUAAAACCAGACUUGUUAUGUCACUCCUGUGACAAAAGAGUGCAUUUCUAUUACAUACAUGUUAGUCUCGUGGAACUAAAGCUGCCCCGAUCUAUAGCAUAAACCUUGUGCCGGGUGUGUGUGACUCACUCACCCAAACGUUUCUUUUGUUCCCUAAAGUGACAACUCUUACAUUUUCUUCGCUAUAUAUAAUUCUUAUAGAAAAAAAUGGCCACAGCCUAAAGGAGGAGUUUAGAAAACAAACGUACUAUAUCAUCAUCAACAACUAUGUGAAACCUUUCUCAACGUUUUUGUGAUUUUAUCUCGGAGCCGCUUUAUCUUAGAACGCAUAUGUGAGUUUGUACCAAAAUAAGAUUCAGCGUUUGACAGCAUUGCAUCCACGUCGUGCUUAAACGACCCCAUACUUCUGUAGUACCGAUUCUCUACUCUCUGGUGAAUCAGCUCUGGGUAUAAAGGAACUGGGAACCUGCAAAAAGGAUUUUAAAUGUAACGAAGCUGAGUUACAUAUAAGGGAAUCAUAUUUAAAGAGAGUCAGAUUGCAGCAGAGAGCAAAGCGUACCUAUUGCAGAAAUCCAUCUUUUGAGCAGCUUCGUUUAGCUUUUGGAUUCCAUAACUAUCCUGAAGAAUAAUAUUAUAGUAACAGAAAAAAAGUAACGGUUAUUAGGCAAGCAAAGAUAAAAAAAGGUAGAGAAAUGACCGGGAGAGAAGACAAAAAAAAAACCUGAUGCUUGCUGAUUGACUUCACUAGUCCAGCAAAUAAAGAAAGUAGUUUCUCUCUUGGCUCUUCGUCCAUGGUAGAGUUUUCCCAAGGAAACUGGGGAUUGUCAAACUCCCAGGGGCUGUGGAGAUUCGUGUCCCCAGUUUCAUAGACAACUUUGUAUCUCUCCCAUGGACUGUCUGGGAAGUUAGGGGACUUAACCUGUGAAGACUCGAUCCUUCCAUCCCACCAAGCACCGCCUUCACUGGACUCGUUUCUCCACCACACACGGCAUUCAUCCCCGACUUCCCAGUUUGUUUUCAUUGCAGCAUCGUAUCGAGUCUUCUCCACAAUAAAAUCCGGAAAAUUAAUGAGGUCAGGCAGUGUUAGUUGGAACUCUUUCCGAGAGGCAUGCGAUGAAGAAGAAUCCAGAACCCUGAGAGUCAUUUUGCAGCAGCUCUCGCCAGAACCAGGAUAUGUAUCGUAGUUGAGUUUCUC
rnacentral:lncRNA from 1 species